GCCCACCUGGCGGAAUUGGUAGACGCGCUGGUUUUAGGUACCAGUGACUUUGGUUGUGCGGGUUCGAGUCCCGCGGUGGGCA
rfam:Candidatus Synechococcus spongiarum isolate 1 genome assembly, contig: NODE_1498582_length_2031_cov_11